UACAGAGGGGGGCGAGCGUUGUUCGGAAUUACUGGGCGUAAAGGGCGCGUAGGCGGCCUUCUAAGUCGAACGUGAAAUCCCCGGGCUCAACCCGGGAACUGCGUCCGAUACUGGGAGGCUUGAAUCCGGGAGAGGGAUGUGGAAUUCCAGGUGUAGCGGUGAAAUGCGUAGAUAUCUGGAGGAACACCGGUGGCGAAGGCGGCAUCCUGGACCGACACUGACGCUGAGGCGCGAAAGCUAGGGGAGCAAACGGGG
rnacentral:rRNA from 1 species